rnacentral:tRNA from 1 species
GCCGGCGUGGUGUAAUGGCUAACACAUCAGUUCCGUCUACUGAAGAUGCUGGUUCGUCCCAGCCGCCUAUU